GAAGAAUUAUGGAAUAAUUCCGACUUUAUCGUAACAUUAUGAUACUAGUAAUGCCUAAGUCGGCUGAUUUAUUCAUAUUACAAGAUGAUGAUGAAAUUUCGGAGGAAAUGCUUGAGUACUCAAUUUAACCCCUGAUUUAAUAAAAGAUCGAAAAAAAUAACAUUUGAUGUUGAAACAAGUUUUCGCUGAAAUUCAGAGAAUGUUUACCUUAAUGAAAAUAGUAAAUGGAGCUUAAAUGUUACAAGAAAAAACAAUAUUUAUUUUAACGCUCGGUUGUUCAUGAGGAUUUAAGUGCAUCAUUCCUACAAUCGCGUGUUCUUGUGAUCGAAUUUAAAGUGUGGAUAGAAUAAAAUCAUAAAUGUAAUUAAAAUUUAAUUUAGAAUUUCUAAAAAUAAUAAUCAAUUAAUGUAUGAGGCCAAUCAAAUUUAAAGUGUGGAAAGAA